GAUGAAGAACGUAGCGAAAUGCGAUAAGUAAUGUGAAUUGCAGAAUUCAGUGAAUCAUCGAAUCUUUGAACGCACAUUGCGCCCGCCAGUAUUCUGGCGGGCAUGCCUGUUCGAGCGUCAUUUCAACCAUCAAGCCCCCGGGCUUGUGUUGGGGACCUGCGGCUGCCGCAGGCCCUGAAAAGCAGUGGCGGGCUCGCUGUCACACCGAGCGUAGUAGAUUUUAUCUCGCUCUGGGCGUGCCGCGGGUUCCGGCCGUUAAACCACCCUUUUAACCCAAGGUUGACCUCGGAUCAGGUAGGAAGACCCGCUGAACUUAAGCAUAUCAAUAAGCGGAGGA
rnacentral:misc_RNA from 1 species